CCCGGUUUGGCACCGGCAGUCUCCCUAGAGUUCCCGGCAUCACCCGCUGGCAACUAAGGACAGGGGUUGCGCUCGUUGCGCCACUUAAGGCAACACCUCACGGCACGAGCUGACGACAGCCAUGCAGCACCUAGUUUCGUGCCCUUGCGGGCGGACAUGUUUCCACAUCCUUCACUAACUUUCAAACCCUGGUAAGGUUCCUCGCGUAUCAUCGAAUUAAACCACAUGCUCCUCCGCUUGUGCGGGCCCCCGUCAAUUCCUUUGAGUUUCAACCUUGCGGUCGUACUCCCCAGGCGGGGUACUUCCUGCGUUAGCGCCGGCACCCAGAGGGUCGCUCCCCCAGGCACCUAGUACCCAUCGUUUACGGCGUGGACUAC
rnacentral:misc_RNA from 1 species